rnacentral:rRNA from 1 species
UACGGGGGGGGCAAGCGUUGUUCGGAAUUACUGGGCGUAAAGGGCUUGUAGGUGGCCAACUAAGUCAGACGUGAAAUCCCUCGGCUUAACCGGGGAACUGCGUCUGAUACUGGAUGGCUUGAGAUUGGGAGAGGGAUGCGGAAUUCCAGGUGUAGCGGUGAAAUGCGUAGAUAUCUGGAGGAACACCGGUGGCGAAGGCGGCAUCCUGGACCAACACUGACACUGAGGAGCGAAAGCUAGGGGAGCGAACGGG